GCGCAACCCUUAUCCUUUGUUGCCAGCGGUUNGGNCGGGAACUCAAAGGAGACUGCCANUGAUAAACUGGAGGAAGGUGGGGAUGACGUCAAGUCAUCAUGGCCCUUACGACNAGGGCUACACNCGUGCUACAAUGGCGCAUACAAAGAGAAGCGACCUCGCGAGAGCAAGCGGACCUCAUAAAGUGCGUCNUAGUCCGGAUUGGAGUCUGCAACUCGACUCCAUGAAGUCGGAAUCGCUAGUAAUCGUANAUCAGAAUGCUACGGUGAAUACNUUCCCGGGUCUUGUACACANNCANA
rnacentral:rRNA from 1 species